AUGGCAAAGAAGUUCUUGACUGUACCAGCUACUAGUGUCUCAUCAGAGUCGACAUUCUCUACAGGAGGUAGUGUUCUUGAUUACUACCGUAGUUCUCUAACCCCAAGCAUGGUUGAGGCACUUGUUUGUGCUUCUAGCUUCAUCAAAGGAUCAAAAGAAAACCACAUUAGGUCUACAAUCAUAGUGGAAGAUGACAUUGAUGAUGAUGUUGAGUUCAUUCCAUUUCCCGAAUCUAUGGUGGAAAGCAACUAA
rnacentral:rRNA from 1 species